AUGCUUUCCCCUUCACAUUCUCCGCGGCAUCUCUCUGUUUUACCGCCUUAUCCAACAAUAAUAACAACCUCUACCUCUGCACUUUCGGUUCAGAUUCAACCGUGUGACAACACCAAACCUUCACUUUCUCCACUGAGGAACAAUUUUUUUUCUUUUACUGUAAUCUCCCGUCCCCUGCCUCUGUUCAUCAUUUUAGGUUUUAUAGCAUUAGAUACAUAG